AAUAUUGCACAAUGGAGGAAACUCUGAUGCAGCGACGCCGCGUGAACGAUGAAGGCCUUCGGGUCGUAAAGUUCUGUCCUUGGGGACGAUAAUGACGGUACCCAAGGAGGAAGCCCCGGCUAACUACGUGCCAGCAGCCGCGGUAAUACGUAGGGGGCGAGCGUUGUCCGGAAUUAUUGGGCGUAAAGGGUUCGCAGGCAGCCUAUUAAGUCAGGUGUGAAAGACCACGGCUCAACCGUGGCAAGCACUUGAAACUGAUGGGCUUGAGUUAAGGAGAGGAAAGUGGAAUUCCUAGUGUAGCGGUGAAAUGCGUAGAUAUUAGGAGGAAUACCAGUGGCGAAGGCGACUUUCUGGACUUAUACUGACGCUGAGGAACGAAAGCGUGGGGAGCAAACA
rnacentral:rRNA from 1 species